rnacentral:rRNA from 1 species
UGGGGAAUUUUGGACAAUGGGGGGAACCCUGAUCCAGCAACGCCGCGUGAAUGAAGAAGGCCUUCGGGUUGUAAAGUUCUUUUGUCUGUGAGCAAAGGUUACUGGGUAAUAUACGGUAAAUCUGAGAGUAGCAGAAGAAUAAGCACCGGCUAACUACGUGCCAGCAGCCGCGGUAAUACGUAGGGUGCGAGCGUUAAUCGGAAUUACUGGGCGUAAAGAGUGCGUAGGCGGAAAUGUAAGUUAGAUGUGAAAUCCCCGAGCUUAACUUGGGAACAGCAUUUAAGACUGCAUAUCUAGAGUUUGUCAGAGGGGGGUAGAAUUCCAAGUGUAGCAGUGAAAUGCGUAGAGAUUUGGAGGAAUACCGAUGGCGAAGGCAGCCCCCUGGGAUAGAACUGACGCU